rnacentral:rRNA from 1 species
ACUUUGAAGAGAGAGUUCGAGAGUACGUGAACCCGUUAAGAGCCAAACGGGUGGGACCUCGAAGGUCGAACCGAGGGGAUUCAGCUCGUCGGCCAAAGUCGGCUGGGUGUCGGGAUUCGCUGAGGCGACCCAGGAAAUCUUGGGCGUGCCCGCACUCAAGCCGGCGCCGGCGGGCGUAUUUCCCCUCGUGAUGUAGGUCGCCGCGACCCGUUGCUGGGGACGUCAAAGGCCCGGGCGGACUGGUACCCCGACGUCGCGCGCUUCGGCGCCGGCAAAGGGGGAAACCUCCGGUGUCCUGGCUGCCCUGCGACGGUCGUGUAGCAAAGGGGCGGCAUCCACGGCAAGCAUUCCCUCUCGCGGCGUGCAAAAGGUCGGUGACCCACCCGACCCGUCUUGAAACACGGACCAAGAAAAUCUA